GGGUAAGGGAUGCGCCGCCGGGAUGCACCGCCGCUGCCGCCGGGAGGAGCCUUGGACCGCGCUGCACCGGUGGGCUCAGGAGCCCAGCACCCUGCGGCAGAACGGGAAUAUGUCUCUCCUUGCUCCCCAGCCACCACGUGAGCCCCCCCUGCCUGCACCAAGAGCCUGUCCUCUUCCUGCAUCCCCUUGGAUAUGUUUUAAGCACUGGCAGGACAAAAGCGCUGGGGGGCCAUGCCCCUGCCCAACCUGAUACAGAAAAUCUCCAUGUUGAGCUCUGGAACAAGACAAGCGGACUCCAGAUCUGAGCCCAGUGCUGGUGCCAUAGCCUGGCUCCCAAACCCCCUGGCAGCCGUAGCCUGCACCACGUGCACCCCAGUAAUGCAGCUGGGGGCCACCAAGCUCCAUCAGUUCUGAGUCAGUAAACUGCCAUCAAAUGCAGUCAUCCCGCAGCUCCCUGCUCCAUCCAUCUUCCCUCAAAAAAAAACCCAACUGCCAAAACCCACUGCAAAAUCCACCCGUCUCUGCUCACGCUGAGAGCGCAGGGCUUGCACUGACUUACUGCUGUAGUUUUCCAGAAACUUCACCUCUGGACUUGGUGUUUCCGUGCUGUUUCAGCAGCAGCGUGCCAGCAGGGACAGCAGAGCUCACGGCAGUGCCUGAGCUGCCCACAGGCUGCGUGCAACAACUGGGUAACCUGUGGUGCCCUGUGGGCCAUGCUUCCUUAGCCCCGUUCAGUCUAAAAAGUAGUUUGAUUAUUAAAA